GAGUCGGACACGGGGUGCCGGACCGAACCGGCUGAGAACACACCCGUCGAACCUGACCAGGUCAUGCUGGCGAAGGGAUGUCGAGAUGCGCACAG
rnacentral:ncRNA from 2 species